GGGAGGGGGGCGGAUCCAGGGCUGUGUCCCCGCGCACUGUGCUCCGGUCUGCGCUGUUGGAUUCACGCUCCCGCCCCCGAGCCCCCC
rnacentral:pre_miRNA from 1 species